rnacentral:rRNA from 1 species
GGGUCAGUAGGUUGGUCGUGCCACCGGUACGUACUGGUCUCACUGAUUCCUCCUUCCUGAAGAACCGUAAUGCCAUUAAGUUGGUGUUGCGGGGAAACAGGACUGUUACUUUGAAAAAAUUAGAGUGUUUAAAGCAAGCUAACGCUUGAAUACAUUAGCAUGGAAUAAUGAAAUAGGACGAUCGAUCCUAUUUUGUUGGUUUCUAGGAUUGACGUA